AGAAUCAACGCUGGCGGCGUGCCUCAGACAUGCAAGUCGAACGCGAAAGCCCCCCUUCGGGGGGCAAGUAGAGUGGCGCACGGGUGAGUAACACGUAGGUAAUCUACCUUCGGAUGGGGAAUAACAAUCGGAAACGGUUGCUAAUACCGCAUAAUGCAGCGGCACCUAAUGGUGACAGUUGUUAAAGCGGGGGAUCGAAAGACCUCGCGUCUGAAGAGGAGCCUGCGGCGGAUUAGCUAGUUGGUAGGGUAACGGCUUACCAAGGCAACGAUCCGUA
rnacentral:rRNA from 1 species